CUUCCUCUGCCCAAGUUCUUUUCUUGUUCAGUAUAAUGGAAUACCUAAAGGAUUUCGACGUCACUCCUAUCCUUAUAGGAAUUCUGUUGUCUGUUAUCACACUACAUUUGUGGUAUGGCAGACGUAGGUACAGACUUCCACCUGGCCCUAUCGGUGUCCCUCUUCUUGGGUAUUUACCAUUCCUUGAAAGAGAAUCUUUCCUUACGUUUAAGAAAUUAAGUGAAAAAUAUGGAAACAUAUUCAGUUUGUAUCUCGGAAGAUCUCUGGUUGUUGUGCUUAAUGACUAUAAACUUAUUAAAGAGGCUUUCAGUCAGCAAGCACUUUUAGGUCGGCCACCACAUAUAUUUGACUUCCAUCCUGAUGGCUUAGGUUUUGCUGGAACUAACGGAGAAGAAUGGGUAGACCAAAGAAGAUUCACUAUGAAGGCUAUGAGGGAUGUCGGAUUUGGAAGGAGCCAGUGGGAAAAUUUGUUAAUGGUGGAAGUGGAAGAAUUCAGAGAUUGGCUCAAGACCCACGGAGGAAAACCCGUAAAUAUUUACAGGUUCCUUUCUGCAAGUGUCUCUAAUAAUAUGACAUCUUUGGUCUUUGGUAAACGUCUUCCAGCUGGCGAUCCAAUCAGAAACAUAGUAGAUAAUGAUGUGGAAGCCGUUACUCGUGCGUUUUCACAGUCUGGCUUCAUCACUUAUUUUCCUAAACUGUUAUCCUUAAUUGCUAAGAUUAGCUUCACACGACUUGGCAAAGAGAGAAAAAUUAUGGUUCGUUUUAACAAUUACUUAAAAAGUGAAGUAGAAGCCCGUAAGAAGGUAUUGACGACUGAAAGCAGCGAAGAAAUGUUUCUUGAUGGUUAUUUGAAGGAAAUCGAAAGAAAUAAACAGAAGAAUAUCCAAAGCUCGUUUACUGAAAAUCGCCUACUAGGCAAUUCUCAGGCUAUUGUUAUUGGAGGUAGUGAAACCACAAGAACCGCUAUUUCAUGGUUAUUGUUGGCCAUGGUCACAUAUCCAGAAGUUCAGAAGAAAGUACAAGAGGAAAUAGACACUGUCUUAGGGAAAGAUGGAAAAAUUACGUGGAUGGAACGUGCAAAAUUGCCUUACGUCUGUGCAACUAUGAUGGAAGCUCAAAGAUGGAGAACUGUGGUCCCUUUAAGUGUUAUACGUAGAGCUAAUGCGGACACUGCUAUAAAUUCGUAUGAUAUUCCAAAAGGAACUGACAUAAUUCCCAAUAUAUGGGCUGUUCAUAAUGAUCCCGAAUACUGGAAAGAACCUGAGAAGUUCAAUCCACAAAGAUUCCUCGUUGAAGAAAAUGGGAAAUUGACGGCAACUAAGCCUGAAGGUUAUAUUCCAUUUUCAAUUGGUUUUGAAAACCCCACCUCAGUCGCCAGAUUUAAACCCCAAAGAACACAUUUGGAAAGAGCUGCAGGUUAGAGUACGAAAACACGACAGCGAAAUGAAAAGCGAACCCAAAACAGCUAUGAUGAAGAAAGAAUGAACAAUGUCAAGAUUUUUUUGAAGUGUACGAAGACUUUUGUGAGAUAAAAUGAAGACGUAACUGCCCUGGAGAACUGGUUGCUCUGAUUGAAAUCUUACAAUAUUUUGUGGUUCUCAUGCAGAAUUUCACUCUACUUCCAGAAGUUGACGGCAAACUUCCAGAUUUAAGCGGAAAAUUAGGAGCCACCUA
rnacentral:misc_RNA from 1 species